rnacentral:rRNA from 1 species
UACGUAGGGCGCAAGCGUUAUCCGGAAUUAUUGGCGUAAAGAGCUCGUAGGCGGUUUGUCGCGUCUGCCGUGAAUGUCCGGGGCUCAACUCCGGAUCUGCGGUGGGUACGGGCAGACUAGAGUGAUGUAGGGGAGACUGGAAUUCCUGGUGUAGCGGUGAAAUGCGCAGAUAUCAGGAGGAACACCGAUGGCGAAGGCAGGUCUCUGGGCUAUAACUGACGCUCAUGCACGAAAGCGUGGGGAGCAAACAGG